rnacentral:rRNA from 1 species
AGAGUUUGAUCAUGGCUCAGGACGAACGCUGGCGGCGUGCUUAACACAUGCAAGUCGAACGGAAAGGCCCUUCGGGGUACUCGAGUGGCGAACGGGUGAGUAACACGUGGGUGAUCUGCCCUGCACUUUGGGAUAAGCCUGGGAAACUGGGUCUAAUACCGAAUAUGACCAUGCACUUCCUGGUGUGUGGUGGAAAGCUUUUGCGGUGUGGGAUGGGCCCGCGGCCUAUCAGCUUGUUGGUGGGGUAAUGGCCUACCAAGGCGACGACGGGUAGCCGGCCUGAGAGGGUGACCGGCCACACUGGGACUGAGAUAUGGCCCAGACUCCUACGGGAGGCAGCAGUGGGGAAUAUUGCACAAUGGGCGCAAGCCUGAUGCAGCGAUGCCGCGUGAGGGAUGACGGCCUUCGGGUUGUAAACCUCUUUCAGCACAGACGAAGCGCAAGUGACGGUAUGUGCAGAAGAAGGACCGGCCAACUACGUGCCAGCAGCCGCGGUAAUACGUAGGGUCCGAGCGUUGUCCGGAAUUACUGGGCGUAAAGAGCUCGUAGGUGGUUUGUCGCGUUGUUCGUGAAAACUCACAGCUUAACUGUGGGCGUGCGGGCGAUACGGGCAGACUUGAGUACUGCAGGGGAGACUGGAAUUCCUGGUGUAGCGGUGGAAUGCGCAGAUAUCAGGAGGAACACCGGUGGCGAAGGCGGGUCUCUGGGCAGUAACUGACGCUGAGGAGCGAAAGCGUGGGGAGCGAACAGGAUUAGAUACCCCGGUAGUCC